rnacentral:piRNA from 1 species
GUUGGGUUAGCUCACUCAGGAUGAUA